GAGUUUGAUCCUGGCUCAGAUUGAACGCUGGCGGCAUGCUUUACACAUGCAAGUCGAACGGCAGCGCGGGGGCAACCCUGGCGGCGAGUGGCGAACGGGUGAGUAAUGCAUCGGAACGUAUCCUGUAAUGGGGGAUAACGUAGCGAAAGUUACGCUAAUACCGCAUACGCUCGAGAGAGGAAAGUGGGGGAUCGCAAGACCUCACGUUAUAGGAGCGGCCGAUGUCCGAUUAGCUAGUUGGUGGGGUAAAGGCCUACCAAGGCGACGAUCGGUAGCUGGUCUGAGAGGAUGAUCAGCCACACUGGGACUGAGACACGGCCCAGACUCCUACGGGAGGCAGCAGUGGGGAAUUUUUGGACAAUGGGCGAAAGCCUGAUCCAGCCAUGCCGCGUGCGGGAAGAAGGCCUUCGGGUUGUAAACCGCUUUAGUCCGGGAAAAAGGGGUGCGAGGAUAAUACCCUCGUGCUUUGAUGGUACUGGAAGAAUAAGCACCGGCUAACUACGUG
rnacentral:rRNA from 1 species